rnacentral:rRNA from 1 species
UAGGGAAUCUUCCGCAAUGGACGAAAGUCUGACGGAGCAACGCCGCGUGAGUGAAGAAGGAUUUCGGUUCGUAAAACUCUGUUGUUAGGGAAGAAAAAAUGUAUAGUAACUAUAUACAAAAGAGACGGUACCUGACCAGAAAGCCACGGCUAACUACGUGCCAGCAGCCGCGGUAAUACGUAGGUGGCAAGCGUUGUCCGGAAUUAUUGGGCGUAAAGCGCGCGCAGGUGGUUUAGAAAGUCUGAUGUGAAAGCCCGCGGCUCAACCGUGGAGGGUCAUUGGAAACUAAUAAACUUGAGUGCAGGAGAGAAAAGUGGAAUUCCUAGUGUAGCGGUGAAAUGCGUAGAGAUUAGGAGGAACACCGGUGGCGAAAGCGGCUUUUUGGCCUGCAACUGACACUGAGGCGCGAAAGCGUGGGGAGCAAACAGG